AUUGAACGCUGGCGGCAUGCUUUACACAUGCAAGUCGAACGGCAGCGCGGGCUUCGGCCUGGCGGCGCGUUGCGGACGGGUGAGUAAUGCACCGGAACGUGCCCAGUCGUGGGGGAUAGCACGGCGACAGCCGGAUUAAUACCGCAUACGACCAGAGGGUGAAAGCGGGGGACCGAUAGGCCUCGAGCGAUUUGAGGGGCCGAUGCCGGAUUAGCUAGUUGGUGAGGUAAAGGCUUACCAAGGCGACGAUGCGUAGCUGGUCUGAGAGGACGACCAGCCACACUGGAACUGAGACACGGCCCAGACUCCUACGGGAGGCAGCAGUAGGGAAUCUUGGACAAUGGGCGCAACCCUGAUCCAGCCAUGCCGCGUGCGUGAUGAAGGCCUUCGGGUUGUAAACCGCUUUUGUUCGGGAAGAAAACCUCUGGGCGAAUACCCCGGGGGCAUGACGGUACCGGAAGAAUAAGCAACGGCUAACUACGUG
rnacentral:rRNA from 1 species